AGAGAAAGAGAGAGGUGAUCAAAAAAAGAAGGAGAGCAAGUGAGAACGGUCAUGAUCGCCUUUCUUUUUUUUUUUCUUUUUUUCUUUUC
rnacentral:ribozyme from 14 species